rnacentral:rRNA from 1 species
AUACGAAGGGGGCUAGCGUUGUUCGGAAUUACUGGGCGUAAAGCGCACGUAGGCGGAUAUUUAAGUCAGGGGUGAAAUCCCAGAGCUCAACUCUGGAACUGCCUUUGAUACUGGGUAUCUUGAGUAUGGAAGAGGUGAGUGGAAUUCCGAGUGUAGAGGUGAAAUUCGUAGAUAUUCGGAGGAACACCAGUGGCGAAGGCGGCUCACUGGUCCAUUACUGACGCUGAGGUGCGAAAGCGUGGGGAGCAAACAGGAUUAGAAACCCUAGUAGUCC